ensembl:lncRNA
AAUUAGAAGAGUUGCAAGUGUAAAUCCUGCCCAUCUGGCAAUAUAUGCAGGCUAAAGCAAUUGCUAAAAGUAUUUGAAAGAUUUCCAAUAGUAUUUAAACCUACCAGAUCUGCAUCUCGCCACCCCGCUUACUUGCCACAAUCAAUCUUUUAGGUUCUAGGACCCAGAGCUUUAGGCAAUCAGUCUUUUAGGUUCUAGAACCCAGAGCUUUAGGCAAUCAGUCUUUUAGGUUCUAGAACCCAGAGCUUUAGGCAAUCAGACUUUUAGGUUCUAGAACCCAGAAUCUUGGGCAAUCAAUCUUUUAGGUUCUAGAACCCAGAAUCUUGGACAAUCAAUCUUUUAGGUUCUAGAACCCAGAGCUUUAGGCAAUAAGUCUGUUUUUGAGCUCUAGUUGUAGACUGGUCUCAGAUCUGUUUGUGCUGUCUUACCAACUAGAACAGCUCCCGAGUCAAGUCCAAUGGUACAUUGGUUCUCUGUACUGCGUUCAUAGCACACCAAGGCACAGGACAGACACGCACAUUGCUACAACGUUGAUUUAAAAUGAAUAGACAUUGAUUGAUAGCCAGAACAUUAUGUCAAGACAGCAGGCAUACGGAAUACUCUAUAGGGUUGCACAUUUUCCUUAACUUUCCCAAAAUUCCCCGGUUUUCCAGAAAUCUUGGUUGAAAGACUCUUGGAAUAAGGAGGAAAUCAAGGAAUCCGUCAACCAGGAUUUCUGGAAAACCGGGGAAUUUGGGAAAGUUACCACGAUUAAUACAGUAUCAUUUAUCAUUUGAAAACAUUGAUUUUGUGAAUAAUACUAUAUACCUCAAUUAAUCUAAUAUCGACAGUAAAUUUCCUUUGAUAUUUUUCUUACCAUUUCCAGUUGUAUUCAUAAAACGUUUGAGGUAUAUGUAUGAUAAUCGGCCCGUAGCAUUGUCACUUGCUUGUUCUAUCCAAACGGUCUCCUUGCUCCCUGUGCGCCUCUGACACAUGUACUGGAGCCCCUGAAGUGCUGGAGCAUGUCCAUGUCACAUAAACAACAAAAGCCGGUGAGUGCAUUGCUGACGUUGUUUUUUGCUUGAGACGUAAAGGUCUGCUCUCUCAGUGAUUAUAUUUUGUGCGGAUAAUCGGCCCGUAGCAUCCAAACGGUGCCGUCCCUUCCUCUCCGCUGUCUCACCGUUUCAGUUGGUGGCACAGGCACCUGCUCAGUGCGCACUGUUCUGGCUUUUUUGCAGUUAAGCCUCGGGGGUGUAGGUUCAGGAUGAGGCUUAGUCCUCGGGGGUGUAGGUUCAGGAUGAGGCUUAGUCCUCGGAGGUGUAGGUUCAGGAUGAGUCUUAGGCCUCGGAGGUGUAGGUUCAGGAUGAGGCUUAGUCCUCGGGGGUGUAGGUUCAGGAUGAGGCUUAGUCCUCGGGGGUGUAGGUUCAGGAUGAGGCUUAGUCCUCGGGGGUGUAGGUUCAGGACGAGGCUUAGUCCUCGGGGGUGUAGGUUCAGGAUGAGGCUUAGUCCUCGGAGGUGUAGGUUCAGGAUGAGUCUUAGGCCUCGGAGGUGUAGGUUCAGGAUGAGGCUUAGUCCUCGGGGGUGUAGUGGUCCCAUGGUGUUUAUGUUUGCAUACUAUUGUUUGUACAGAUGAACGUGGCACCUUCAGGCAUUUGGAAAUUGCUCCCAAGGAUGAACCAGACUUGUGGAGGUCUACAAUUUAUUUUCUGAGGUCUUGGCUGAUUUCUUUAGAUUUUACCAUAAUGUCAAGCAAAGAGGCACUGAGUUUGAAGGUAGGCCUUGAAAUACAUCCACAGGUACACCUCCAAUUGACUCAAAUGAUAUCAAUUAGCCUAUCAGAAGCUUCUAAAGCCAUGACAUCAUUAUCUGGCAUUUUCCAAGCUGUUUAUAGGCACAGUCAACUUAGUGUAUGUAAACUUCUGACCCACUGGAAUUGUAAUACAGUGAAUUAUAAGUGAAAUAAUCUGUCUGUAAACAAUUGUUGGAAAAAUUACUUGUGUCGUGCACCAAGUAGAUGUCCUAAUCGACUUGCCAAAACUAUAGUUUGUUCACAAGAAAUUUGUGGAGUGGUUGAAAAACGAGUUUUAAGGACUCCAACCUAAGUGUAUGUAAACUUCCGACUUCAACUGUAUGUGUGAAAUUAGAUUUGGUACUGUUUAGGUUAAGUUUUGAGGCAAUUAUCGGGGUGAUUAUCAACUGGGCUCGGCACCUUCCACUGAAGUAGCGGAGCAGGUCCUACUGUAGUGAGAAGGAGGGGAGCAGGCCCUACUGUCGGGAGAAGGAAGGGAGCAGGCCCUACUGUCGGGAGAAGGAAGGGAGCAGGCCCUACUGUCGGGAGAAGGAAGGGAGCAGGCCCUACUGUCGGGAGAAGGAAGGA